rnacentral:rRNA from 1 species
AUUGAACGCUGGCGGCAGGCCUAACACAUGCAAGUCGAACGGUAACAGGGAUCAGCUUGCUGAUUCGCUGACGAGUGGCGGACGGGUGAGUAAUGUCUGGGAAACUGCCUGAUGGAGGGGGAUAACUACUGGAAACGGUAGCUAAUACCGCAUAACGUCGCAAGACCAAAGAGGGGGACCUUCGGGCCUCUUGCCAUCGGAUGUGCCCAGAUGGGAUUAGCUAGUAGGUGGGGUAACGGCUCACCUAGGCGACGAUCUUUAGCUGGUCUGAGAGGAUGACCAGCCACACUGGAACUGAGACACGGCCCAGACUCCUACGGGAGGCAGCAGUGGGGAAUAUUGCACAAUGGGCGCAAGCCUGAUGCAGCCAUGCCGCGUGUAUGAAGAAGGCCUUCGGGUUGUAAAGUACUUUCGGCGGGGAGGAAGGGAGUAAAGUUAAUACCUUGGCUCAUUGACGUUACCCGCAGAAGAAGCACCGGCUAACUCCGUG